rnacentral:rRNA from 1 species
GACGAACUGUGCAAACGUUAUUCGGAAUCACUGGGCUUGAAGAGUGCGUAGGCGGUUUCGCAAGUAGGGUGUGAAAGCCCCCGGCUCAACCGGGGAACUGCGUCCUAAACUGCGGGGCUGGAGUGAGGUAGGGGUGUGUGGAACUUCCAGUGGAGCGGUGAAAUGUGUUGAUAUUGGAAGGAACGCCGGUGGCGAAAGCGACACACUGGGCCUUGUCUGACGCUGAGGCACGAAAGCCAGGGGAGCAAACGGG